CUGCUGCCUUCCGUAGGAGUUUGGGCCGUGUCUCAGUCCCAAUGUGGCCGUCCACCCUCUCAGGCCGGCUACCGAUCGUCGCCUUGGUGGGCCCCUACCCCGCCAACAAGCUAAUCAGACGCGGGUCCAUCUUACACCACCGGAGUUUUUCACACCGGGCCAUGCGGCCCUGUGCGCUUAUGCGGUAUUAGCACCUGUUUCCAGGUGUUAUCCCCCUGUGUAAGGCAGGUUACCCACGCGUUACUCACCCGUCCGCCACUCGAAUG
rnacentral:rRNA from 1 species